rnacentral:lncRNA from 1 species
AGGGUUGUUGGACUCGUGAGUUCCUGAGGUAUUUGUGUCGUGCGCUGUGGGGGGACACCCGGAGACCAGUGACUCGGCUUCACUCAGUCGCCUUUCUCCCCCGUCUGUGUCCGCGCCGGACCCGGUGCCAUCUCUUUAUCCACGCUCCAGUGACACAAGAUGCCCUUCAAUGGCGAGAAGCAUUGUGUGGGCGAAGACCAGCCGAGCGAUUCAGACUCUUCCCGGUUUUCCGAAAGCAUGGCUUCCCUCAGUGACUAUGAGUGCUCCAGGCAGAGCUUUACAAGCGACUCCUCCAGCAAAUCCAGCUCCCCUGCUUACAUGCCUGUUGUAUUUUAAAACUUAGAAAUGAGUGAACAUGAAGUACUAACUUCCCUUCUUUUCUAGAUGUACCAGAAUGGCACUGCCAGGGCACUGCAGCUGUCUUGUACAUGCGCUCAGCAGUAAAUAGCCACCAACGUCUAUAAUCUGCCCAUUUUUAUUUUUAUCGCUGUCUCUGAUCUGCUUUGGUCUGACUAUAAAUCAGGUCUCCCAGCCCCACCUGUCUUCUCUCUCAAGUAGCGGAAAGCUACUCCUUCUUGAGAUCUGUUUUUGAGCCACAGUCAAGGAUAAAUUCAAAUCUGUCCUUUCUGAUUUACAUGGGGGGAAACUUGCCCCAACUCAAGGGUCAGGCAGGAAGUGAAAUAAUCUAAAGGGUUUCCUGCUGAUUUCAAAAGCCAUUGUGCAAAUCUCCCCCAGAAAAGUGCCCAGGAGGAGAAUUACCACACUAGGGGUGUAAGAAGGAGUUAAAAGAGUGGCCUUGGUGAAGGGGGAUACCUUUUUCCUUUUCUGUGUGUGAAAGCUAGAGGCGUGUGAAACAGAUGUGGGUUUUUUUUUUUAGCUUUUUAAUUGGCAUUUUGUGUAGGAAAUAUAACCCAUUAAACUGCCAAAGCAAAUGCAAAAAGAAGCAACUGAUGUUUAGUAUGAUUGAAUGCCCACUUCAAAAAAAGUUUGUUCGUUUGUGUUUAUUUGAAAUGUGUACAUUCUCAUUAAAAAAUGAGAAAGUCAGAGUUCCCAUCGUGGUUCAGUGGUUAACAAACCCAACUGGUAUCCAUGAGGAUGCAGGUUCGAUCCCUGGCCUUGCUCAGUGGGUUAAGGAUCUGGCGUUGCUGUGACUGUGGUGUAUGCUGGCAGCUGCAGUUCCAAUUCCAUCCCUAGCCUGAGAACCUC